CUCACGUCCUACCCAGUCCUCGCCAACCACCUGCCCGGUUUCCCUCUCCCCCCUCACUCAACGCCGCGUAGGCAGCAGGAGCCGCCAAGUUCGCCCGUCCGCGCACCUGUCCGAGAUAAUGGUCCGUUUGCGGAGUCCGAGGAAGUUGCAGGCGAAGACCCUAAGCAGCAGCUGGUUGGUGAAG